rnacentral:rRNA from 1 species
CCUACGGGAGGCAGCAGUAGGGAAUCUUUCACAAUGGGCGAAAGCCUGAUGGAGCAACGCCGCGUGCAGGAUGAAGGCCUUCGGGUUGUAAACUGCUUUUAUAAGCGAGAAAUAUGAUGGUAACUUAUGAAUAAGGAUCGGCUAACUACGUGCCAGCAGCCGCGGUCAUACGUAGGAUCCGAGCAUUAUCCGGAGUGACUGGGUGUAAAGAGUUGCGUAGGUGGCAUAAUAAGUAGCUAGUGAAAUCUGGUGGCUCAACCAUUCAGACUAUUAGCUAAACUGUUAAGCUCGAGACCGUUAGGGGUAACUGGAAUGUCUAGUGUAGGAGUGAAAUCCGUAGAUAUUAGAAGGAACACCAAUAGCGUAGGCAGGUUGCUGGGACGGGUCUGACACUAAGGCACGAAAGCGUAGGGAGCAAACGGGAUUAGAUACCCCAGUAGUC